GUGAACUUGUGAUAAUAAUGAGAGUAAUUUAGGGUUUAAAAAUGGGGAGUUGUCGCUAGUAUUACUAGCGAGCAAUGACUCGGCCCAUAAUCUUUAUCAACUCUUUACUAUUUGACUUAAUAUCAAGUAAAAUAAUCCAAAUUUAGGGUUAAAAAAGUUUUAAAUAACUUUCAACAAGGGAUCUCUUGGUUCUCGCAUCGAUGAAGAACGCAGCGAAAUGCGAUACGUAAUGUGAAUUGCAGAUUUGGUGAAUCAUAGAAUCUUUGAACGCAUAUGGCAUUCUUAGGUAUUCCGAAGAGUAUGCUUGUUUCAGUAUCACGAAAAUCUCACAAAUUGAAAUUUUUUCAAAUGGUGGACUGGGAUUUGGGAUUACUCAAGUAAUUGUUAAUCUGAAAUGGAUUUCAGGAAGCUAAACUUGCUUUUUAUCUUUGCUUAAUAGUUUUGCUUUGCAAAUCUUUUCCAUGGAUUAAAAAGCCAAAAAGUGAAUUGAUUUUUACGAACUCAAAUCUCA
rnacentral:rRNA from 1 species